rnacentral:rRNA from 1 species
UACGAAGGGGGCUAGCGUUGCUCGGAAUGACUGGGCGUAAAGGGCGCGUAGGCGGUUUGGACAGUCAGAUGUGAAAUUCCUGGGCUCAACCUGGGGGCUGCAUUUGAUACGUUCGGACUAGAGUGGGGAAGAGGGUCGUGGAAUUCCCAGUGUAGAGGUGAAAAUUCGUAGAUAUUGGGAAGAACACCGGUGGCGAAGGCGGCGACCUGGUCCUUGACUGACGGCUGAGCGCGAAAGCGUGGGGAGCAA